rnacentral:rRNA from 1 species
CAGUCGCCGCGGUAAUACGAAGGGGGCUAGCGUUGUUCGGAAUUACUGGGCGUAAAGCGCACGUAGGCGGAUAUUUAAGUCAGGGGUGAAAUCCCGCAGCUCAACUGCGGAACUGCCUUUGAUACUGGGUAUCUUGAGUAUGGAAGAGGUUAGUGGAAUUGCGAGUGUAGAGGUGAAAUUCGUAGAUAUUCGCAGGAGCACCAGUGGCGAAGGCGGCUAACUGGUCCAUAACUGACGCUGAGGUGCGAAAGCGUGGGGAGCAAACAGGAUUAGAUACCCCUGUAGUCCCUGUCUCUUAUAC